CGCCUGUUUGGUCUGUGCGUGUGCGCACCAGAGUCCCGGGUCACACACACUCCUCAAAGAGAGCUAGAGCAGCGUUAAGUUUGCAGCCAACCUCGACCAAGAUUUCAAUUGAGCAGGAUGUCACAUUGCCCACCACACCAAGGCGGAUCAUGCUAGGAAGAAGUUUGACGUCUUCCACCCAUUGGAUGGUCAGCAUUGAGGGGAAGAUCCUCUUUGAAGCUAUCCAACUUAAUGACUUUGCCAGUGCUUUUGUCGUCUUCUUUGGCUCAUUUUAUGCAUUCAAUCUUGAAUAUCAUGAGUCAGCAUCUACUACACUGGAGUUGGUACAAGGAUCAACCCAGAUGAGGGCACCAAAUGCAUGGCCGAAGUGGGUACAAACCGCAAGACGGGAGUUGUCCAAAGAAAGCUGACAAGCAUCAGCUCCCAAGUCACCACCUUCCUCCAACGGCUCACCGAGUUUGAGUGGAAGACAUCAAACUAGUCCAGGACGGACCAUCCCAGCAGAUGUGGAUCAGCAAGCAUGAGUAUCAUGGGUCCGGCCCCUUCAUCGUCCUUCACAAAUGCUUCUCAACAGACUGCUUCUCCUUCCCCUCCCCAACCAAAUGCCCAACAACUUCACCUCUGUGGUAAACAACCAUACCACAUACUCACAAGCCCCCGGCUGAGCGCCGCUAUGUUGGAGUU